GUCCACGCCGUAAACGAUGGGCACUAGAUGCCGGGCCUAUAGACGGGUUCGGUGUCGCAGCUAACGCAUUAAGUGCCCCGCCUGGGGAGUACGGCCGCAAGGCUGAAACUCAAAGGAAUUGACGGGGGCCCGCACAAGCGGUGGAGCAUGUGGUUUAAUUCGAAGCAACGCGAAGAACCUUACCUAGGCUUGACAUACUGGUGAAACUCCCUGGAAACAGGGAGCCUCCUUCGGGACACCAGUACAGGUGCUGCAUGGCUGUCGU
rnacentral:rRNA from 1 species